GUGCUUGCUUUGGCAACACAUAUACCAAAACUGGACUGAUACAGGGAUUAGCAUGGCCCCUGUGCAAGGAUGACACGCAAAUUAGUGAAACGUUUCAUAUUUUA
ensembl:snRNA U6 U6 spliceosomal RNA